AGCCUCAGGGAUUAGCGAGCGCGACAGGCCCAAGAUCACCUUCUCUACAGAUGGCUUCUGAGGACAUCUGUACUUAAUUAACUGUCACAGUCGAUGGCUACAUCUGAACCUGAUAUUCUGUCCCAAAAGAAACACGAAGUUAUAAUAGUACAAUGCCGUUGAGCUCAGGACCUGGAGAAAGUGACUCCAGGCUAUCUGUCCCGGGUUCAAUGACUUUUGGAAUGAUGCUGGGUCUCUCUGAGCUCCUGUGUAACUCUAAAACAGACAGUAUUCUGACUGGGAAGAGAAACAUUUGACCAUACUGGAAGUGUGUUAACAGAAGUACCAGAAUAUGCAAAUGCAAGGUGUAUUUGGAAAGGAUUGGGAGCCCGGUGUGGUUGGAGGGGAUAUAAUGUAAAAUAUGUUUUCCAAGGUAGGUUGAAGUUAGAUGACGGGGAAGCCGAAUGGCUGGCUAAAGAGAUGUAACUUUUUCUAUAUACAAAUAAUAAAGAGUGACUCAAAGUUUUGAGGAGGAUAUAGCAUGUAAACAUAGUAUGUAAAUAUUAGUACGUGAAGGAUGGCAGAAUAUGCCACCCCAAAAUAGGCCACUUGGGCAUGUAGAUUAUUUUGAGCUGAAGGCAACUGAGAAAAAGCAGACACGAGAAAAGCUCCCCACUCUCCUCUUAUUUGUCAGUCUAACUUACAGGGCCCCAUUCAAUAAUCCUAAGAUGGGUGGAAAGAAAAUAACUUUUCCCUCCCCUACAUAUGCUAUCAGGAAUGGGAAUGCUGGACGGGAGAUUUUUAAAAAGGCCAGUUAGGACUAGCAUUCACCUUAUUCCUAGAGUGAGAUGAUGGAGGCCUGACCUGGUCCGGAGAGGUUGAGAAGGGCUAAAAAAGAGGCUGAUUCAGUACAAGGUACAGAGAAGGAGGAGACCAUGGCCCCGAAUCUAGCUGGAGUUGAUGUUUGAAGGCCAUCUUCCACCACACUUUUCGCUAACAUCCCAUCUCAUGGAUGGGACCUCAACCCUAUUCACAAGUAAAGAAACUUAAAUUUACAGACCUUCUAGAACUUUCCAGACCACAACUAGCUAUGAGUAGACUAAGGCUGGCCAAGGAUCCGACUUCAAAUCCAGUAACUGGGAGAAUAAAAAUAGUUGCAAAUGAGGAGGAGGGAAAUAACCAGAACCAGGUCAUGAAGGGAGACACUGAGAGACACACUUGCUCUUCAGCUGCCUGGUGACCAUCAGGGUAGCGGUCACCCAGGGGUGAUGAGAGAUACUCCCUCGUUCUCUCACAGCACUUGACAGAGGUGACGGCUGCUAGUGCAGAUAUUUGGGAACACUUAGGGUGAUCUUUUGUUUGUUUUCUGUUCCUCUGUUUGGAAAGUUAACAAUUGGGGAAAUAUAAGUUUCAGUUCUGGUGAACCUUCCAAACUAAAAACAAGAAGAAGGAAAAUAUUCUGAGAUCAAAUUUCUUCUAGAAAACUUCAGCAGAGUGUAAAGGCAAACGUUAUGGGAAAUCUCGUAACAGAGAUACAAAGGCCACGAGCAUUUGUCUUUUAAGCGGGGAGACCAGGUGUUUGGCCUGAUGGCAUGGGAUGAGGUUCAUUUAUUUUAAUUACAUCUACUAAGACCCUUAUCUACAUAAGCAAUUGCUUUUGGCCAAUUAGAAAGCGUUAUGCCUUCCUUGAAUGCCAUCUUGAAAUAUGCUCUUUCCCAAAGAUUCUGAGGAGGGGGACUUGUGAUCUUGGGGAGCUCCAAAGAGGUGGUCCCCCAAGAACACACCUCUGCUCUGAGAAGCCUGUAGGUCUUGCCUCAGGAACAGGACGGGCAGCAGCCCUUUGACCAAAGAGCUCAUUCAGGAAUGGCGGAAGUAAAGCAAUUCAGUGGAAUUCGUGCUGAAGAGUUUCAAAUUCCUCUGAGAGAAAGUUAAUGCGCUCGUGUAUUUCCAGAGCAAUUAUUAAAGAUUUUAUUGGUUGAAAACUUUUAAAAGAUUCAGAUUACUGGAAUUAAUACCUUUAAGUGAUCUUGCCCAGCAUCUAGAUAAUCAACUUGAACAACUUCGGUAAUAACAUUUGCUUUUACUCCUGCGAAAACACUUGUAAAACACGAUUUGGAAAAUACACUCUCGAAUGACAAACACAGAAAUAUAAAGCAAAUUUGGUACCCAGCUGUGGGCAUUUUGAUAUGUUUAUUCAUAGUUAUUAUUGAGCAGUGUGUUGAUCCAAUUGACAAUUAUGAUCAUUGUUACCUUCAAAGGAGUAUUUACAGCGUAGGAUUUCAGAGUAAUUGUGUGUGUGUAUACGUGAGUUUGUGCGUGUUUGAGGUUUGCCUCAACUUACAGAAGAAGACUUGCAUAAAUUUGCCUCGUAGGAAACUCUUUGUCCAAAAAGACUUCUUGAUUCCUGUACUAUAUCAUUACCUUACAGUUUGAGGAUAACGAAAACGUCAUCUGAAAGGAAAAACGUGCUUAGGAAAUUCGCUACGCCUCUUUUUGAUUUUUUAGGUAGUUUCCACAAAGCUGACAUGAGGUUUUUUUCUUUGUGACUGUUUCUCUUCCAAAAGAAAUGAACAAAUAUACGACUGAGAAGAUGUUUCUAACAAGAGUGAGUUUUACCGCUGUAUAUGAUGCUAAAACCAAACAUUCUCAAGACAUGAACUUCCCAAGCAAGCGGAAACAAACAGUAACAUUCUUUGUAAAAAUGUCGUCUUGCCACUAAUAAGAAUGAGUUUUGGUGAUUACAGCUAGCCGUGAUGCAAAUUCCCAUGACACAGGGGCAGUGUGACAUUAGGCAUGGAAAGUACAGACCCUUUCUCAGAGCCUUGGACACCCUCUCCGGUCAAGUCCUCUCUGCCCCAGGCCUCUUUCUGGCUCAUUCCCAGCCCAUGGCCUCUCAUGUGGAACCUUGUUUAAAUCUGCCAGCUCCACCAGGUCCUACACUCGGAGGAAACUUAUCAUCUGCCCAUGCUACUUCCCAUCCUCCAUGCUGGAAGACGCUGCUGACAUGUAAUACUCCAGACUUCCAGAGUCAUUGCCAGGAAUUCACUAUGUUUCAUGGCAGGCGUCCAUGAACCACUCUCCUCUAUAGAUGGUCAGGCUGAGUCCCAAGGAGUGAAUGACUUGCCCUUUGAAAACAGAGCAGAGGCAGAGCCAGGUUCAGAAGGUAGGAGGGCCCCCCUAAAAAAUGGGUCACCCCACAUGCAAACUCAGGAAGUGAAAAUGUGGCCUCAAGCUCUACGGCAGGGGAGGACUUUUAGUCCGGCUAAAUAUAGUGACCCGAACUGGAGGACAGCCAGCGCUCAGGGUACCAGCCUCACGGGAGCAUUCUAGGAUCCUUAAUUGCCACAGGUGGGCUGCAUAGUUCUUUUAAAGCUCGCCUAAAAAUAAACCUUCAAUGAGUCUAGCUCCAAGGGUUGAUUGUAUUAUCAUUAUAAAAAUCAGGAUGAAAAGAGGUAGUGGUGAGGAAGAGAAAGAAGAAGUAGGUUAUUCUUUGGAAAUUGGAGGAGGUACCUUCCACGAGUUGCUGGGGAAUGAUGUUGAAAAUCGAUAUUUUUUUUCAUCUUCUUUUUAAAAAUGUCUUACAGACAACUAUUGUGUUUGCUGUUUACAGUAUUCUCUUUGUUGUGUAGAAGCCCGAGAAAUGUACCUGUCAAUCUGUGAUUCCUCACUGCCUGAGGUCUGACCAUCUCACCUCCGGAGAUGUCUAUUUGCAGCCUGGGGCACCAGCCCUAAGCAGGGAAAAGUGAACCCACCAAUAGGCCGGCAAGGUGCCUUCUCCACUCCCUGGGGAGCCCUAACCUCCUUGGGUGCAACAGGAGAACAGGGUGGGAAUGAACAAGAGCUUUGGAGCCAGAUAGACCCAGAGUUUGAAGCAGGGUUUCACUCUCACUGCCGUUUCUAGAUGCAAGCCUUGGGUUUUUGUUUCUACCUCAGAAAUAAUAAAAUACCCAACCUUCAAACAGAGGUCACGAGAUCAGAUGAGGGAAUGGUACAGGGUGGCUUUCAAAGGGCCUGACACGUGAUACCGUCAGUCCACUUUUAGGGGUCCUUGCUUACCAUCUAAAUAAUCACCUUGAACAAUUUAGGUAAUCGCAGUUACUUUUAGUGCGACUAAAACACUUUUGUUUAACAAGGUUUGGUGCUGGGAAUAGAAUACUGGGGACAGCAUCAGUUUUACAGUGGCUUCCAUGGGAUAACUUGCAGAGAAUAACUUAUUUUAUGACUAUCAGAAAUACAGAGGGAAGACCUCUUCUUUUUUUAAAAUUUAAAAUGUUUUUUAUUUCUCUUUUUUUGGGCCGUGGUGUGGCAUGCGGGAUCUUAGUUUCCCACCAGGGAUCAAACCUGUGCCACCUGCAGUGGAAGCACAGUGAAGUCCUAAGCACGGGACCAACAGGGAAGUCCCAAGACCUCUUCUUAAUUGGUAUUUCACAUGUCCUCUGAUUUUUUUUAUUUGACUACCCACUUAAGGUCAAAUGAAUUUCCUUCCUGGAUAGAAGGUGAGUGAAUUACCGGGGCCCAACUAUGCCAACCUGGCUCCUUGUUACACGUUUGCUAUCGGGCAUCCUCCAUACUGUCGUGUGCCUUUUCCCUUCCUGAAAAGCAGAAGCCUUCGUAGACACAUCUGUUGUUCUCUUCUUCCCCAAGCUAGUGACUCUCUAGUGUUCUGUGAAUUCUUCAUCCAGUAACAUUGGACUCACGUGGGACCAUUUUCUGCUGAGAGAUUUCUCCAGACACACAACCUGCAAGCUGAGUUUCCCGGUCCCUGAAAGCCACUUUCUCCUCUCAACCGUGUGCAUUUAAAUAUAAUCCUCAAUAAACAAACAGUUUGUGCCACUA